AAUACUUUUUCCUAGGUGCCC
rnacentral:piRNA from 1 species